rnacentral:lncRNA from 1 species
AAGGAGGUUGCUUACUGUAGAAGCUCGGACGAAGAUCGAUUGCCGUGAAAGUUCGGAUGGAGACUUUUUAUUGUAGAAGCUCGGAUGAAAUUUGCUUGCAAUAGAAGUUUGGAGUAGAGAUCUGGUUGGUGGAGUCCGUCCGUUGUAGAAGUUCGUCUGGGAUCCAUCCGCUGUAGAAGUUCGGACAGAGUCCGACUCUUAUAGGAGUUCGGAUGAAAUCUGAAAGGUGGUCGACCACCGUAGAAACUUGGAUGGAGUCUGGUUACUGUAGAAGUUUGGCUGCUGGAGAAGCUCAGUCAUUGAUGAAGUUUGGAAGAAGUUCGGAGUAAAGUCGAUCGUGGCUGGAAGAAGUCUAGAAGAGAUUCGGAGAGUAGUCAAUUACUGUAAAAAAUUGACAGAUAGUGAAGCCCAGAGAGUAUUUGGAGCAGUCUGAUAGAUGAAUGGAGGAGCUCAUUAUUGGAGAAGUCCGGAUGGCACGAUAGGAGUUCGUCUGUUGGAGAAAUCUGGAGGACACUGUGGAAUGUCGACUGCUAGAGGAGUCCGGAUGGUAUUGUGGAA